UUCUACGGCCAUGCCGCCCUGAACAAGCCCAAUCCCGUCUGAUCUCAGAAGCUAAGCAGAGUCGGGCCUGGUUAGUACUCGGAUGGGAGACCACCUAGGAAAACCAGGUGCUGUAGGCG
rnacentral:rRNA from 1 species